UUCUUUCCUAAAUGAUUUGAAACAUUUAGGUGUGGCAAAAAUACAACAAUAGAGCUAACUAAUCCUUAAAGGGAGAAACGUGGCUGAGUUAAGACUACAUUCACAUUCAGGCCUUGCACACACAGAGCCGAGUCUUUCUAAAAACAAAAAUCUCCAGCACAUCAUGUAAAAAAACAUGCACGAUACCGGUUUCAGAAAAGAUAUCAUCCUCAUCACUGAGUGUUGAUUUAAACAUGCCAAACCUUUAGGGGGCAGUAUAGCCCAAAGCUAAAACCGAUUCUAGUCAACGGGGUAUAUGCCACGGACUUCCGUUUUAGCACUUCCGCAUUUUUUUGCCACAAAGAAUGGUUCCGGUGCACAGGCAACAGUAUGUUAACUGUGGCUCCUCGGUCGCUGCAGGACUAUUUAUGUUGCUUAUAUAAUUAUUCAGACGUCCUGAAACGCUCCAACAACAACAAAGGAUUUAAGCUGGAUGUGUCAAAACGUCACUAUAACUUCGAAGUUGGAGUUGAACAGGAGUUCUGUUUGAUGGCUUCCUGGAGGGAGGGAUCGGCUGAGCUAAUGUUGUCAACAACUUUUCUCCUGCUAUUAACUUUUUUGCUUUUCUUUAUAUAGAAAGUAUUUCUAUCA